UAAGGCCUACCAAGACGACUGUACCUGC
rnacentral:piRNA from 1 species